rnacentral:rRNA from 1 species
UGGGGAAUAUUGCACAAUGGGCGAAAGCCUGAUGCAGCGACGCCGCGUGAGGGAUGACGGCCUUCGGGUUGUAAACCUCUUUCAGCAGGGACGAAGCGCAAGUGACGGUACCUGCAGAAGAAGCACCGGCUAACUACGUGCCAGCAGCCGCGGUAAUACGUAGGGUGCAAGCGUUGUCCGGAAUUACUGGGCGUAAAGAGUUCGUAGGCGGUUUGUCGCGUCGUUUGUGAAAACCAGCAGCUCAACUGCUGGCUUGCAGGCGAUACGGGCAGACUUGAGUACUGCAGGGGAGACUGGAAUUCCUGGUGUAGCGGUGAAAUGCGCAGAUAUCAGGAGGAACACCGGUGGCGAAGGCGGGUCUCUGGGCAGUAACUGACGCCGAGGAACGAAAGCGUGGGUAGCGAACAGG